rnacentral:lncRNA from 1 species
UAUGGAAGUUCCCUCUACAAAGGAAAAUAAAAUCUGGGGCCUUUAGCUCUGAGGGAGUGUGAAAGGGGAAGGUUGUUUGGGGAAUUAGAUGAUGAGGUGAGAGGGAAGAUUUCUUAAUGUCUUAUCUCACUUAGUUACGGAGCCAAGUCUUGGGAAGGAGUUGGGAAAAGAAGGAAUGGAGAGAUCCAGACAAGGAUGAGGGAACCCAGGGACACGGAAAGGAUGCUGAGGGGCAGCGAACUCACAUCUGAAGCUACAUUUGCUGUAAUGCUAUUGUUGAAGACAAUGGUCAAAUUUUCUCUCCUUGCUCUUACAUAGAAUCUCAUCCACUGGAAGAUCUAUGGGACUUCCUAUUGUGUCCCCUUUUUCCUGGCUACUUAUGUUCAUGUGUUCCUUCUCACUGUGGCUACCAGGAAGCUGAAGGACAUAUACCACCAUGGGCUGUAUGAUCAUUAUGGUCCAGUGUGACCCUUCUAGUACUGGUAUAUUACACAUGCUCACAUGCUCACGUAUGGCUCUUUCUGUGGCUGCUUCAAUGUCCUGAGUCAAUUCAAAAGGUUUAUGGCAGUUUCUGCCAAAUAAAAAUGUCUGUGCAUCUUCAUCCACCUGAUUCACCAGAUUCUGCAUUGUGCAACUCCUAGCUCCUCCCCAAAGUCAAAGUGAUCAUACAAAAUGAACAUUUUGAAAAAAAGUACAUCAAGACAGCCCAGACAGUGCAACUAAGUACUCAUAGAGGAGAACUUCCAGAACUUCCCCAGAAAGUGUCAAGAACAAUGAGAUAAGUGUGCUCAAAGUAGGAGGGAGUAUUUUAAGGGGAUUCAUGGCAAGGUGUCU